UAAGCGACUUCGAGUUGUCGAGCGAGUCACCUCGCUCGGCUUCGUCCUUCUCGUCGGAAAUCAAUAUGACUUACCUAGUCUAAAAAUGACCUACGUAAAACGACGCUUUUUCAGCGUCGCUACGAUACGCGCACUCACCGUUUCGCGUUGAAGGAAUAACCCGCGACGUCCGGUCGUCCAACGAUGAAUCCCCGCAGAGUCUCCUCAGCAACCAACACUGCAGCCUCAGUUUGAGAGCCGUUCUCUCGCGUCGCGACCGCACUUCACUCACUUCACUCACUGCACUGCACUCGCCAUGGCGGUGAUUUUAGCGGCGUUUAAGUGAUCUUUAACGAAAACUGCUGAGAUCGCCAGGGAAAAUGCUUUGAACGGAGGACGACGGGGCGAGUUUGUGAACGUACUUCGAGACCGACCUUGCUCGACCCGAGUCUUACGACAUCGUCCGUCGUCCAUCGAAAAUUGCACCCGCCGUGUCAACUCCAGCGGAUCUGAAACAGAAAAUGGAGAAUACACAUCGAUCUCGGCGAACGGUGCAAAAGUUCGAGCGUCAGUCUGCGCGGGACGUGCAGACGAAUUGUUGCGAUGUGAACAAAGUAUCGUAGCCGGGCUCCAUUAUCGUUGCUACAUUAUUAAUUGCCAGACAGCUGCAACAUCUCGCGCACAGCACGGUCAUGGACGCAUCGCAUCGCCUCGCUCGACGCGGCGCGAUUAAAUUACGUCGGAAAGUCGGAGAUGGAAAACCUCCGUCGCGAGCUCGCGAGGUCGUUGCGCUUUCGUGUACAAAUUCGUCAAGAGAACACGGAUCGAUGGAAAAUUUAACGAUUCGCCGGGCGAUGGUCGGGUCGAGCGGUCCGCUUAACUUCGAACGACAACGCCGCCGCUAAACGGAACGUCCGAGGAACAGCCGACCCAUUAAUGUAAUAUCAAUUAUUGUCCAUUAAUGCGGCGUGAAUUAUUGAUACAUUUAAUGUGUAAUAUCCAUUUCCAGAGGAGGCGCACUCUCGCGAAGAAAGCCGCGAGUCCUGCGGGCGCUUCAUCGCGCCGCAUUAUUCGCGCGCGCGCGCGAUCGGAAACGCGGCACUCUCUCUCCUCUCUCUCUCUCUCUCUCGGUCUCGGAAGACGUCGAUCUUGAAUAAUGUAGCGCGUCACCGUCAGUCUCGGUGUCAUCUCGGCGUGUUGCAUCCAGGCAUCACUUAUUCUCGCACACGUAAAUCCUCUCCCGCGUCCCUCGGAGCGUCAUUAAAAUCUCGUUCCGGGCGUACUGAGGCGCCUAGGCGAAUGCAACCACGCUCGCGCGUAGGUUGCGUCUGUUCGUUUUCGAACUUCUUAAUUAGUGCAAUAAGUUGCAGCAAGUAUACGUAACAGAGCUUGGCGAAAUUUGCACAUUUUGCCUGAUUUUCAGCUCGCUCCGCCUACCGCUAUUCCUCUUGUAUCUUCUUCCGCGGCUCACGAACCGCACGAAGCUCAAGUAACGUACGACGCAUGAAAAAAGAAAAAGAAACGUGUCAAUAGUAGGUAACGUAGAAAGCUAUUGAACACAAAUUCACACGUCGUAUGUUACCGAGCCGGAGGAAGACGUCGGAGAA